UUAUUUUAUAUAUAAAAAAUUAAUUUAAUUAUAUAAAAAUAUUAAUAAAUAACAAAUCUCCCGAUCUUGACUCUCUCUAAAGUAAAAUCCCUAUAUAUAAAAAAAAUUAAUUUAAUUAUAUAAAAAUAUUAGUAAAUAACAAACCUCCCGAUCUUGACUCUCUGAAGUAAAAUCCCUAAUAUCCUAAUCGCAAUUCCACGAUGAACUCAACUAAUUUGGAGAAUAUAAAUUCUUCUUCCAUCGCUGCUCCCUCAGUACACUUCCUCAGCCUUCUUUCCAUUUUGUUUAUAUAAUUAUAUUUAUUAACCUGCUUUAUAUAGUCUAGAACUAUAUAAAUGAAAAUUAUAAAUGAAGGAAAGCACUAUGACGCUCACAGACGUCAUUCAAGCACCUGAUCUCGCACAGGCAUAACUCCCAAAUUGUAUAAAGGAAGGAGAACUAUGAUGCUCACAGAUUGGAACUAUAUUUAAGGAAAAAAUUUGAUAGACCUACACAGGGAAUAUAUUGAUAGCGGCUAACCCUUUCAGAAGACUACCUCAUUUAUAUGAUAAUCACAUGAUGUAUAACAAUAUAAAAGGGCUGCUUUUGAGAGUACAAAGAUGUUUAUGCGAUAUCUUGCUUAUAUGGGUGGAAGAGCUGCAAUUUAUGGGUGUUCCGUGGAGCAGCAAGUGCGUAAGCUUUUGAAGUAGCAAAAACGUUCAGAGAUCUACACAUACGACUCCAAUGGCGAUAUCUGCUCCGUUCUGCCUCUCUCAUUCUAACACCCAUACCCUCCGACCAAACAAUCUUCAUUCCAGACAAGGAGUGCCAAAAACCCGUCUCCGAGCCACAUCAAGCGAUUUCCUCAGAGUAUGGCGAAUCUCCGAUCAAGAUUUAGGCGUCAAAUCCUAAUCUCUUCUCAAUGGAAACAAAAACAGAGAACUAAUCGGAACGAAAGAAAUUAAUUAUGUGGUUCAUUUACCUCUUUUGAUUGGAACAAAACCGAACCCAAACAAAUCAGAUUUUCAAGUAUCAAUACAACUUGUACAACCCAUUUGUUUUUUUUUUUUGUUAAGGUACACUUGUUUUAUUUGAGAUAUCACCCUAUAUAUGUUUAUUAAUUUAAUGGAAUAUCUAUAAA